rnacentral:rRNA from 1 species
GGGUUAAGUCCCGCAACGAGCGCAACCCUUGUCUCCAGUUGCCAGCACUUCGGGUGGGGACUCUGGAGAGACUGCCAGCGUAAGCUGAGAGGAAGGUGGGGACGACGUCAAGUCAUCAUGGCCUUUAUGCCCAGGGCUACACACGUGCUACAAUGGCAAGUACAGAGGGUAGCGAAGCCGCGAGGUGGAGCCAAUCCCACAAAGCUUGUCCCAGUUCGGAUUGGAGUCUGCAACUCGACUCCAUGAAGGUGGAAUCGCUAGUAAUCGCGCAUCAGCCAUGGCGCGGUGAAUACGUUCCCGGACCUUGUACACACCGCCCGUCAAGCCAUGGGAGCUGGGGGUACCUGAAAACGGUGACUUUACGGGGAGCUGUUUAGGGUAAAACUAGUGACUGGGGCUAAGUCGUAACAAGGUAGCCGUACCGGAAGGUGCGGCUGGAAUACCUCCUUU